GCCUCAUUGGCUCAGGGGCAGAGCGUCUGUCUUGUAAACAGAAGUCGCUGGUUCGAUUCACACAAUGUAGGCA